GAGACCUCAGGUCAGGCGGGGUUAC
rnacentral:rRNA from 1 species